CCUAUGGGUGGCAGCAGUGGGGAAUAUUGCACAAUGGGGGCAACCCUGAUGCAGCAACGCCGCGUGGGUGACGAAGUACUUCUGUAUGUAAAGCCCUGUCAGCAGGGAAGAAAAUGACGGUACCUGACCAAUACGCCCCGGCUAACUACGUGCCAGCAGCCGCGGUACUACGUCGGGGGCAAGCGUUAUCCGGAUUUACUGGGUGUAAAGGGAGCGUAGACGGCAAGGCAAGUCUGGAGUGAAAGCCCGUGGCUCAACCACGGGACUGCUUUGGAAACUGUGUUGCGGGAGUGCAGGAGGGGUAAGCGGAAUUCCUAGUGUAGCGGUGAAAUGCGUAGAUAUUAGGAGGAACACCGGUGGCGAAGGCGGCUUACUGGACUGUAACUGACGUUGAGGCUCGAAGGCGUGGGGAGCAAACAGGAUUAGAUACCCUUGUAGUC
rnacentral:rRNA from 1 species